rnacentral:piRNA from 2 species
UGAGUAUGUGGGAAGGACUUCUGAUGAA